rnacentral:lncRNA from 1 species
UGAAGAUGGUGAAACAUGGAUGUAUCUCUUAAACCCUAGUUUGUUUCCAGUUUGUUUUCUCUCAGAAUCAUGCCUGCUAUUGUUUGUAUUUGCAUGAACAUGUUGUUACUGUUAUGCUGUCAGCCAUGCUGUAAAUUGAUGUGAUUUUUGAUGAACAUGAAAUUCAAACCCUGCUGCUGUUUCUAAACCUUAAGCUGCCCAGAAAAUUUCUCAUGUGUUUGUUUUGGUUUGUUGUUUGUGGUUACAUGAACCAUUUCCCACUGCCAUGCUAUUUGGGAUGUCGCAUGAAUUGUGAAGUUGAACAUUGCCAUGCUGUUUGUGAGUUUUGUUGGACUUCAUUUUGAUCAAUUGCAUGAAGUAACAUGAAUGCCCUGCUUCCAAAACCCUAAUGCUGCAAAUUCCCAGAAUCAUGGGUUGGAUUGGUUGUUGUUUGUCUCUCAUACGCAUGUACUGUUCCAUUGGCUGAGAGCCAAUGGGAACAUUU